rnacentral:RNase_P_RNA from 1 species
CGAGCCCGUCGGGCGGCCGCGGUCGAAAGACCGAGGAAAGUCCGGACUCCACAGGGCAGGGUGCUGGAUAACUUCCAGGCGGGGUGACCCGACGGAAAGUGCAGCAGAGAGAAGACCGCCGAUGGCCCCGAAUAGGGCACAGGCAAGGGUGAAACGGUGAGGUAAGAGCUCACCAGCGUUGCGAGCGAUCGCGACGGCUUGGUAAACCCCACCCGGAGCAAGGCCAAGCAGGGACGCCGACGGCCCGUCGACUGAGUCCCGGGUAGGCCGCGUGAGCGCAUCGGCAACGGUGCGCCGAGAUGGAUGGUCGUCGAUUACAGAAUCCGGCUUACAGACGGACUCGCAAG